rnacentral:lncRNA from 1 species
UUAUUAUUAUUAUUAUUAUUAUUAUUAUUAUUAUAAUAGUUAUUAUUAAUAUAUUAUUAUUAAAAGAAUAUAUAUACAUACAAUAACUUAUGCGUAAUACAAUUUCCAGGCUCCCUAUUUUCUUUCUUGUUUCUCUCUCUCAACUACUGUCACUGCCAGUGACGACAGCGACAUUGGUCUUCUUCCGUUCGGAUGAGACAACGACAGUGGUGGACUAGUGACAACGAUUUUAGUUGACCGGCGGUUUGGAGGAGAUGACGGGGAAGGAUGAUAGUGAUUUUCUGGUGAGCAGCGGUGGGAGAGAGGAAGAUUGGUGCCUGUGGUAGCCGACUCUCCGAUGUUUUCUCCGGAUCUAGUUGGGAAGGGUUAACGACGGGAAAGGGGAAGAAACGGACGACGCGAAGCUUUGCCGGCGGCGGGAAAAGGGUGGCAGUUGAGGGAUUCCGGCGAUGGGGAAGAGGGAGUUGACAGUGGUAAACGCUGGAGAAAACACUGGUUUAUGCGUUUUUUGGCAGAUUUUCACCGGAUAUGAUUUUUUUUUUUGGUGGUUCCGAUGGGUUUCACCGGGGAAAAUGGAGGCAAGAUGAUUGAUGUUUUGUAUUCUGGCAGAUUUCGUUAGUGAUGGUUUUCUUACCAGACUUUGACAAAACAUCACCGGAAAACGAAACAACUUUCAAUUAUUCCAUGUUUCUAUCUGACUGGUUUUUCAUCAAUUAGUUUAGUAUGUAUUGUGGAUAUGCAUAUGUAUUAUGCAGUAUAUCUAAUGCUCACUUUAUAUAUAUAUAUUUGUAUAUUACAGUGAAUGUGUGUGUCACCC